rnacentral:rRNA from 1 species
CCUACGGGAGGCAGCAGUGAGGAAUCUUGCGCAAUGGGCGAAAGCCUGACGCAGCGACGCCGCGUGGGGGAUGAAGGUCUUCGGACUGUAAACCCCUGUCGAGUGGGACGAAAGCCGGAGGGGCGAACACCCCCUUCGGUUGACGGUACCGCGAGAGGAAGCCCCGGCUAACUCCGUGCCAGCAGCCGCGGUAAUACGGAGGGGGCCAGCGUUGCUCGGAAUUACUGGGCGUAAAGGGCGCGUAGGCGGCCGCGCAAGUCGGAGGUAAAAUCCCCCGGCUCAACCGGGGAAUGGCCUCCGAUACUGCGUGGCUCGAGUCCCGGAGAGGGUGGUGGAAUUCCCAGUGUAGGGGUGAAAUGCGUAGAUAUUGGGAGGAACACCGGUGGCGAAGGCGGCUCCCGGGACAGUGACUGACGCUGAGGCGCGAAAGCUGGGGGAGCAAACGGGAUUAGAUCCCCGGGUAUU